AUGCAAAUUCUCAAAUCAAAAAUUAUCAAAACUUAACCAACAAUCAAGCAGCAAAUUUUAGUUCUGAAUCUUUAGGUAGUAAACAUUUUGUACCACUUUUUCCACCACCUCCCUGUCAAAAGUUGACUUCCACCACCUCCACAGAUCGUAUUGAUAAAUCUUCGCCGGCUAUUUCUAGCACAAACUGCAAUUUAUGCAGUAAAAAGCUAUACAUCAACAGCUAUUCAACUGGACGAAUUAUUAUCUAAAUGUCUAGCAAGCAGGGAUGGACUAAAAAAACUUGAUAAAACAUUCAUAACAGAACAGUACCAGCAUAUGAUGUUCAAGAUGGUACCAAAGAUUCUUGAAAAAAGGAGCUCAUUAUCGCUAUAAAUAAAUAACCCCAUAGUAAUUUGGCAAUCAAGCAAUUGGACACUAUUGUAUGAGGAUUUCAUAAAAUAUUUCGAGGAUGAUUCUACUUGAUUUGAUUAUUUACAAAUACCUUCCAUGACUCGUUAAACUUAAAAGGUUCUGGUGGAAAGAUUAUUUAUCAUCAACCAAACUAUGUGAUCUAAUAGAAGAAGUUGUUAAAUGAAGAUUUGAAAAGGUUUUAAAUGAUAUUAAACAGCAAAGUGGACAGUUUUGUAAAAAUGCAAUAUUAAUUUAUGAGUUCGCUUAAUAAUGUUUUUAAUGUUGUCCGUAGUGACAACUUAAUUACACCAUUGAUGAACAGUUUUCUUAAAUUAUAACUUAAUAAAUCUUUAGACCGUCUUUAGUACGAUGUAUUGAAGCAGUAUUCUGUAAAACGCUAUUCCGACGAACAAAGGUGACCAUUUUAAGGCAUUUUUUAGACGCUAAUUUUUAUCUAAACUAAAUACUUAAAAGCGCCUAAAAUAAGACUAAAAGACGUUUUGAAUAAAACGUUUUUAGGACGUUAAAAUAGGAAGUUUUUAUCUGUCUAGAGUAAAACAUCUUUAAGCAAUCUUGAGUAAGACAUCUUUUCGAUUGACAACGUAGACCUUUUUAAUACAUCUUUAAGACGUCUUGAAUAAAACGUUUUUAGUCUGUUUAAAUAAGUCAUUUGAAACCACUUUAUAAUAAGACGACUAUAAGCAAUCUCGAAUAAGACGUCGUUUCGACGGACAACGUAAACCUUUUUAAGAUAUCUUUGAGACAUUUUUUUAAACUUGAAAAGACGUCUUUAAAACAGCUAAAAGAUAUCUUUUUGUUUGAUAGGAUUGCUCUAUACAUAAGAAAUAGGUAUUACUACAGAAUAUUGAAAAGUUUUAUUGUUAAAAGACAGAUUGCUUGCGCCCAUUCUCUUCAUAGCC